rnacentral:rRNA from 1 species
UUAAAUUGAAGAGUUUGAUCAUGGCUCAGAUUGAACGCUGGCGGCAGGCCUAACACAUGCAAGUCGAACGGUAACAGGAAGAAGCUUGCUUCUUUGCUGACGAGUGGCGGACGGGUGAGUAAUGUCUGGGAAACUGCCUGAUGGAGGGGGAUAACUACUGGAAACGGUAGCUAAUACCGCAUAACGUCGCAAGACCAAAGAGGGGGACCUUCGGGCCUCUUGCCAUCGGAUGUGCCCAGAUGGGAUUAGCUAGUAGGUGGGGUAACGGCUCACCU